rnacentral:lncRNA from 1 species
CCGGCCCGGCUCCGGAGAAAUGGCGCUUGAGAAAGGAGGGGAAGGGAAGGUUCCCGGACCCCUGGGCAGGGACCGGUCGCCGGGGACCCGCGGAGCCCUCCGGGGAUGGAGGAGGCGCGAGCUGGAAGCGGCGCGCGAGCCCGAGCGCGGGGCUAACACCGUGGGGCCCAGUGUCUCCUGGCUCGGGUAAGUGGACGCGCCCCGAGGCCCCGGGUCCACGCAGGGCGCCCCUCGCAGACGGCGCGUUUCCUACUCUCCUAAAGAACCGAGUUCCCAUCACUGCCUCCGAUGAGCCUGUUUCCGGAUCAGGAACCUUUUUCAAGUUAAUUUUUAAAGCCUCAUUUGAAUUUUUUAAUAUAGGAAAAUACGUAUAUGAGAAAAAUCUUGGAUGCAACAAAAAGAACACCGUGGCCACCCGUGGUGUCCCAGGAGUUGCUCUGAGCUCCUCGCGUCAGGGCAGUUGUUACAGCAAAUAACUGCAGACGGGUCUGCUGGACGCGGUGGAGAGGGGCUGGCAGCUGCCCAGCACAGGCGCCUGGCCGCUGGGCAGCUCCCGCAAUACCAAAAUAAGCUCACGAGUUCCCCUGGAAGACUUGGGCCGCCGGGAGCUCGGGCUGGUGAUCUGCUCGGAGGAAACCUCCCUACUUUCCUUUUUUACUCUUCCUGCUGUCCAGAGCUAACAAAUGUUUUUAAUUUCAGAGGAACAUGGUGUGGGGAUCUGCAGACUCGCCUUCCACUGGGGAGAGGGCCAGCGAGGGGACAGAGGGGGAGGAAAGGAGAGGGGAUAAUAGACCUGAGGUCAGUGUUGAUGCUGGAGGGCCCAGGUCUCUGAAGUUCCUGCAGCUUUGCAGAUGAGCGGGCUGCAAGUGAGGCUAGGCCUGUGGACACCCAGUGGGGCCUGGAACAGUGCCAGGAGUGGCCUUGAACCCCACCUCGAUCCCUCUCCAGCAGGAUCUGGGGUCACUUGCAUGGGCCUGGCAGACACCACUCCAGAUUUGCCCUCUGGCCUGGGGAGCAGAUAACCCCCCGCCCCACAUAACCAGCUGCGCUCCUACACCUGGCAGGCCGGCUCACACAUCACCCUUUAACGCACACUAUAUUCACACACACACUUGUGCAGUCUUGAAUGUGUGCACACACAUCUGCCUGCACACACUCAUGUGCCCACAUGUGAAUCACUUGGAAGUGUACACACACCCAAACCCACAGCGCAGAUGGGCAGACAGGUGAGCCCCGUGCAGCAUGUCACACUCCCACAUGCACAAGACAUGCGUGCAGAGGCAUAUCACACACGCAGAAGCACUCCCGAGAACCGCCUUCUCCCUUCCAGCCUAGGGGCCCCUGUUCCCCCACAACCGGGCCCAGCCCUGGAGCCCCCUCCAGCACUCCUCUCCCACCCCCACGCUCCCAAAGAGCAGCAGAUGUAGGUCUCCC